GACGGAGGAUGCAAGUGUUAUCCGGAAUCACUGGGCGUAAAGCGUCUGUAGGCGGUUUAAUAAGUCAACUGUUAAAUCUUGAGGCUCAACCUCAAAAUCGCAGUCGAAACUAUUAGGCUAGAGUAUAGUAGGGGUAAAGGGAAUUUCCAGUGGAGCGGUGAAAUGCGUAGAGAUUGGAAAGAACACCGAUGGCGAAGGCACUUUACUGGGCUAUUACUGACACUCAGAGACGAAAGCUAGGGUAGCAAAUGGG
rnacentral:rRNA from 1 species